rnacentral:lncRNA from 1 species
GGCCUGGCCUAGGCCUCCGCCCCUUCCUCCUCCUCCUCCUCCUCCUCCUCCUCCUCUGUUUCCCCAAAGUUCAGGCAGCCUUAAGCAAGAGGCUGUGGGACCCAGGAAACUGGGGAGGCUGUCCAGCCACCAUCUUGUCCCCACUAAGCAGGCCUAGGCUUGGGCGGUCAUGGAGAGGUCCUAAACAACAACAAAACUAUAAUAAUAAUAAUGAGAAUAAUAAUGAGAAUAGCUAUUAUAGUGGAGUGGCUUCUACGUGCCAGGCAUGCUCUCAUUUAACCACAAAUACAUAAAAAGCACCUCCUGUGUGCCACAUGUGAUUCUCAGACCUUUACUUCAUGUCCCAUCGAAUCCCCACCAACCCUUGUGAAACAGUUUUGUUUUUUUUUUAAUGAUUCCUUUCUUCAGAGUAGGAAACUGAGACUCUGAGAGAUGAAGCUACUUGCCAACGCCACGCAGCUCAGCCACAUCCCACUGAACAUCAUCCUGUUCCCUGGGGUCCUCACAGCACCUCCUGCAAACAGACCUCCGACCCAAGCCCUUCCUUCUGCCUCCACUGCCACCAUUGCUGCUCAUCUCUGCUGGCACAGAAGUCUCGUCCCUGGUCCUCCAGAAAUCCCCUCUCCAUAUUCAGCGAGAGGGAGCUGUUAAAACUGCGGGCCAGCCCACAUCAGUCCCCGGCAAAGUCCUCUCUAAGGGAUCCCGUUGCUUGGAGAAUAAACCCUCGGAUUCCUUCCUUGGCUCUCGGGGCCUCCUCUCUGACCUCCCUCUGUCUCCUCUCCCAGCCUUCCUCCUCACUUACCCUCCAGCCACGCUGGCUUCCUCUUUGCUCCUGAAACAGCCUGAGGCCCACACUGCCGCGGGCCCUUUGCACUGGCUGUUCCCUCUACCUGGAACACUUCUCCCAGGCUUCCACAGGGCUCCCUCCCGCAAUUCCUUCGGGUGCCCACCUGGGAAGCCUUUCCUGACCGCCCCCCACUUCCUUCUGAGCACGGUCGGGUCUUUCUACCUGGUAUAUGAGGGCAGGGAUUUUUGUCUGCUGUGUUCUCUGUGUGCCCCAGUGCCAUCACAGUGUCUGGCAGAUGGUAAGUGCUCGACACACAUUGGCUGACUGCCUGAAUGAACAACUCUAUGGGCUGAUGGCAGUUAAGGACACUGAGGUCCUCUGGGGUAGGUGACCAGCCCAAGGCCACACAGCUGGUUUGAGAUUAGGCCAGGAGAGGAGCCCGGGUUGGUCACAUCCUGGAGCUGGUGUCUUGGAAACUGCAUCAGGAGAAUAACAAAGAUGAGACUCAGGCUCUAACAAGCGGAUACCAGCGACUCUUGCCCCGCCAGCCCCAGCCCUGCGGCCUUGGGCCCUUCCAGGAGUCAUGGUCUGCCUGCCUGGGGCAUUCCAGGCUUCAGCCCAGGUCCUGCGCUUUCUAUUUUGAGCCUCUUAGUCCUGAGGACUGUGUGUUCCCAGCAGGCGGCACGGGCCAGAGGCUGAGCCUGGGUGUGGCUGUCACCCUAUCUGGGGCCAGGGACCCAGAUUCCCGGGCCCUUAACCUGUUGGCUGCUGAGGGCUCUGGCAUAAGCCCUGUUCCCUGCUUGAUUGUCUCCCCUUCAAGCCCCUGCGCUGGUGUCUUCCAGGCAUGGUAUCAGCCCAUCUCACCU